UGGGGAAUAUUGCACAAUGGGCGAAAGCCUGAUGCAGCAAUGCCGCGUGUGUGAAGAAGGCCUGCGGGUUGUAAAGCACUUUCGGUAGGAAAGAUAAUGACGGUACCUACAGAAGAAGCACCGGCUAACUCCGUGCCAGCAGCCGCGGUAAUACGGAGGGUGCAAGCGUUAAUCGGAAUUACUGGGCGUAAAGCGCGUGUAGGCGGUCUUGUAAGUCGGAUGUGAAAGCCCCGGGCUCAACCUGGGAACUGCAUUCGAUACUGCUCGACUAGAGUAUGGAAGAGGGAAGCGGAAUUCCGGGUGUAGCGGUGAAAUGCGUAGAUAUCCGGAGGAACACCAGUGGCGAAGGCGGCUUCCUGGUCCAAUACUGACGCUGAGACGCGAAAGCGUGGGGAGCAAACAGGAUUAGAUACCCUCGUAGUCCCUGAGCGGGCUGGCAAGGCGCAU
rnacentral:rRNA from 1 species